CGGUAACGCUGUAUUCCAAAUAAAUUAAUCAGCCAAAGAGUAUUCUCAAAAGUAGUGCGGUGUUAACUCCGCCCACGAAGGGAGAUAACUUAGUCUGUUGUAAAAAAUGGCGGUGUUAAAAUUUCCCUAUUUUAUUGACGCCGACAAUUACAUCAGAGAGGAAGAAAUCAAAACGUGCGAACGUUUUGUUUUUUUGGCAAGACGUGGGUCACCGAAGUCUACAGAUAAUGGAUGCAUUUUUACAUCUGCUGUGUUUGCCUUUGGAUGGCAGUGUUCUCCAUGUAGCAAGUACAGUAUGGACUGCCAUAUUUUUGGGACAAGACCCUGAUAAACACAGGUAUUUAAGCGAGGUGCAGAUACUGGAGUAUGAUCAUCUGGUUGGUGCAGUCAAUGAGGGUGGAUUCCACUGGUCUCUUAUAGUUGUGCAACCGAAAGACAACAAAGUUUUGUACAUAAAUCCGAUGGGGGAGCAGAAUGUUUCCCAGCAACAGAUCCUGCAACAAUGGAUGUAAAUGUGUACAUUAUUUAAUUAAACAGUAAAUUUGUGCACAUUCGGCGCUUAUCCAGCAUUGAUAUGGGCGGACCAAUACAUUGGAACAUACUCUGCCCACGUCAUGCAAAACAGUCAGAUUCAAUAUCUUGCGGUGUCUACGUUUUAAAGUAAGCAGAAUGCUACCUGCAGAAUCAAUCCCUAGAGUUUGUGCUCAGCAAAACACAACUACUAGAAGAACGGAGACAAAUAGCCAGAAGACUGCUUUCUGAAGGGGAAUUCAUUGAAGGUCAUCUAGAAGAGAUAGCAAGUAGCCCAUCAGUCGAACAUGAGAACUCAGACCAGCUCGCAAACACCCCUGCCUCUGCCAUGGAGUUGGAAGGGCGAGACACUGACCCAGUAGUCGAUCAUGUGGCAACAACUAGGAACUCGGACCAGCUGGCAAACAACCCUGCCUCUGCCAUGGAGUUGGAAGGGGGGAGACACUGACCCAGUGGUCGAUCAUGUAGCAACAGCCAGGGUGAGUCAAAGCGGACACAGUUGAUGAGGAAAUAUGCAUCCAGCAUUGGAAGCACAAUUUUUCUUUAAAAAAAUACAAUUUAUUUAAUUUAAUUUACAUAAUGCCCUGUCUGUUGGUUUGUUUGUUUGUGCAAACCUUAACAUUUGCAAUAACUUUAUUAAAGUACCUUUAAUAUUAAAGGUAGCAACUUCAUAUAUAGCAUGCAUGUGCAUCUCAAGGAGCUACACACUUUGAGUUGUGUAAGGUCAAGGUAUUUUUUUUUUGGUAAAAUUGAUGAAUUAAUAUGAUAUCUCUUUGCAAAUUGUUUUAAAAUUAUUACAUAACUUGUUUCAGAAACAUUGUUUAAUAACAUUCAAUUGUCAUUUAUUCGAAUUUGAAAGUUGUCAAAAGUAAUUAUUUCUCCCUAUACGGUAGCUUUAGGUAUAUGUGAUAUUUCAUGAGAAAACUAGUCUUCAUUGCAUUACAAAUUAAUGAAGCAUUCUUUACAUUUGCUUUUAUAACAAAAAAACCUAGUUUAGACUUGUAAAAUUGAUAAAAAUAAUUAUUUGAACAUAAAGUUUGACCAGAGUGUACAAUUUAAACACACAAGUUUAUAACGACGUGUAUCUUGUGCUUUGCAUUUGUUUAAAAGUUGCCUUAUAAUUGUGCGAAGCAUGUCUUCUCAAAUUAAAAAUGCAUCUUAUUCAAAGGUGAUCAGAACUAAAUGUGUUUUUUUUAAUAAUUCAGGGAUAACAAAAAUCAGACUAAGAAACCAUAUGCAAUAAUUCAUAGUCUGUUGUCUUCACAGAGAGAAACUUCAAUAAAAAAUAUGCUGUCAUUUUAUAAUACCUUCGUGUUUGCCUCACGGUUGCCUAUUGAUUUGUUUUAAAAUAGGAAGUUUAUAAUGAGGUAUAUAACACAAAGAAAUUUCAUAUUUGAAUCAUUUUUAUGCUCCUCUAAAAAAUUCUUGUCUGAGCUUUUUCUCAGUAACUUAUUACGGGAAUUCAAUGAAACUUUAUGGGAAGCUUCACUACCAAGAGGAGAUGUGCAUGUUAUUAGCCAGUUAUGGUCGGAUGAUUUUUCACAGAGUUAUGGCCCAUUGAAAUUUUCCAUUAACUGUACAUAUUGUGCAUUUUUGUUUGGGCUAUUUCUCAGCAACUAAUGUCUGCAAUUGAAUGAAACUUUAUGGGAAGCUUCACUACCAACAGGACAUGUGCAUAUUAUCAGCAAGUUAUGGUCGGAUGAUUUUUCACAGAGUUAUGGCCCUUUGAAAUUUUCAAUAUACUGUACAUAUAGUGCAAUUCUUGUCUGGGCUAUUUAUCCCCAACUAAUGACUUGAAUUCAAUGAAGUUUUAUGGGAAGCUUAACUGCCUUGAAGAGAUGCGCGUGUUAUUUGUGGGUUCUGGUUAGAUGAUUUAUUUAGAGACUUAUGGCCCUUUGAAAUUGUUAAGUUGCUAAACCAUCCAUCCUAUUAUUUUGUCCAAAGUUAUGCCACUCAAGAUGUUUCCUUUUAUCUGAAUAUAUAGUGCAAUAUUGUGACCAAAAAAACUUUGGGGAGCUUCACCCAUCUCUGACGGCUUGUUUUAAUUAAAUAUUAAUUGUAAAUCCCAUAUCACCUUUUAUCAUACUUUUUUGUAAUUGACAACUUGGUUUUCUGACAAUUGUUUUCCUUGUUUUGUUUCAAAUAGGCAUGAUAUGGUUACUAUUAAAUCAACUUCAUAUGUUCUUCCCUUGUGAUAAGUAUUUUUAGCUCAUCUAUUUUUUGAAAAAAAAUUAUGAGCUAUUGUCAUCACCUUUGCGUUGGCGUCCGGUUAAGUUUUGCGUUUAGGUCCACUUUUCUCAGAAAGUAUCAAUGCUAUUGCAUUCAAACUUGGAACACUUACUUACUAUCAUGAGGGGACUGGGCAGGCAAAGUUAGAUAACUCUGGCGUGCAUUUUGACAGAAUUAUGUGCCCUUUUUAUACUUAGAAAAUUGAAAAUUUUGGUUAAGUUUUGUGUUUAGGUCCAUUUUAUUCUGUAAGUAUCAAAGCUAUUGCUUUCAUACUUGCAACACUUACUAACUAUCAUAAGGGGACUGUGCAGGCAAAGUUAUGUAACUCUAACUGGCAUUUGGGCAGAAUUAUGGGCCCUUUAUACUUAGAAAAUUGAAAAUUUGGUUAAGUUUUGUGUUUUGGUCCACUUAACCCCUAAAGUAUCAUAGAUAUUGCUUUCAUACUUGGAACACUUGCAAACUAUCAUAAGGGUACAGUAAAAGGACAAGUUGCAUAACUCUGGUUGUCAUUUUUAUGGAAUUAUGGCCCUUUUUUGACUUAGUAACUUUGAAUAUAUGGUUAAAUUUUGUGUUUCGAUCCACUUUACUUCUUAACUAUCAAGGCUAUUGCUUUCAAACUUCAAAUACUUUCAUGCUAUCAUGAGGUGACUGUACCUGGCAAGUUGAAUUUUACCUUGAAUCCUACCCCCUACCCGAAUUGACCACCACACCCUCACACUAUACCACCCCACCUCCACCCAAAAUUUCAUUUUAUUUUAAUGGUUAAACCCCCUCCCCCCCCCCCCCACCCCCCCCCCCCCCCCCCGAUUUUAUUUUUUUUCGCAUUUUUUUUCCCCUUUUUUUGAAAAUAAUGUCAUAAAUGUCCACAUUCCCAUGCUAUACACCCCUCUUCACUCCACCCCUCCCUCCUUUGUGAUUGAAAAUGAGAGUCCCUUCACCUUUAAAAAGAAAAUAGAUGAGCGGUCUGCACCCGCAAGGCGGUGCUCUUGUUUAUAUCUAUUUCUUAAUAUUUUUCAGUAGUAAUAAUGUCUAAGAAUGUAUCUGGGUAGAAUGAAUAUCUGUUCUUUUAAAGGUUGUAACUGAUGCUCUAUUUCUUUUGGACAUGACAUGUUACUGUCUCGUUUGUACAGAGAUUCAAUUAAAUACUACAUUUUAUUAUGUGUGAUUCUAUUUUUGUGUUCCAAAUAGGCAGUCUGACAUAUUAGGUAUAUUGAAAACUCUUACAUAUAACAUUUGUAAGUAUCUGUUAUUAAUGACAGUUAAAUGAAACAAUGGUUGUAUAGUUGUGUAUAUUACAAAGUAUAAUUAUUGUUAUAUUUCGAAAUUAGAAUUAUGUUUAUAUUUUAAUUUUCAUACACUUUCAACUAUAAUUUGUAAUAGUGCCGUUGCUACUUAAAUUUUAUGUGGUUUGGAUGCACACUGUUAUAUUCUAUGCUCCUUCAAAAUACAAUUAAGGUUUCACCUUAACGGUUAUAACGCGAGUGAAAAGCAAUAUACACUGUUAUCAUGUGAUUUAAAACAAGUUUUGUUCAAUUAUCUGUAAAGUUCAUUCAUAACUAUUUUAUAACGUGUCUGCUUAAUCCACUUACUAUAUUCAAGCAUUUUGCAUUAUUGUUUUUGUUUAACACUAGAAACUGUAAAGUAAGGUAUAUAUCUUGUUGUAACUUUAAUUGCAUUUAUUAUGUACUGCAUAUUAAUUGUUGGGAUAGUUCCGCAUAUGUAACGUGUUUUUAUUCACGUGUUUUUAUGUCCCCCACUAUAGUAGUGGGGGACAUAUUGUAUUUGCCCUGUCUGUUGGUCUGUUGGUCUGUUGGUCUGUCUGUCUGUUUGCGCCAACUUUAUUAUUUUGCAAUAACUUUAACUAUAUUGAAGAUAGCAACUUCAUAUUUGGCAUGCAUGUGUAUCUCAUGAAGCUGCACAUUUUGAGUGGUGAAAGGUCAAGGUCAUCCUUCAAGGUCAGAGGACAAAUAUAUGUGGCCCAAAUCGCUUAUUUUAUAAAUACUUUUGCAAUAUUGAAGAUAGCAACUUGAUAUUUGGCAUGCAUGUGCAUCUCAUGGAGCUGCACAUUUUGAGUGGUGAAAUGUCGAGGUCAAGGUCAUCCUUGAAGGUCAGAGGUCAAAUAUAUGUGGCCCAAAUCGCUUAUUUUAUGAAUACUUUUGCAAUAUUGAAGAUAGCAACUUGAUAUUUGGCAUGCAUGUGUAUCUCAUGGAGCUGCACAUUUUGAGUGGUGAAAGGUCAAGGUCAAGGUCAUCCUUCACAAGGUCAAGGUCAUCCUACAAGGUCAAACAUCAUAUAGGGGGACAUUGUGUUUCACAAACGCAUCUUGUUUAAUCUGUCUUUGUGUUUUAACGGUCGCCUUUAAUGGACUGUCAAAACUGUGUUUGAAUGUAUUUAAUCAAUUGCCAUUAUUAUCUUUUUAAUGAAGGUUAUAUUAUAGUAUCGUGUCUGUUCCUAGAUGUAUUCUACGACAAUAUGGCUGCAUUUUUAGAACUGUUAUGCACUGAUUUACAACUAUUAUGUCACAUUAAAUACUGUACUUGUAACAUCUAUAUUUUCAUAGAGCAUAUUACAUGACCUUUUGACCAUCUACAUUUUUUAUUGCGUAGGUGGUCUGUUUAUGGUUUAUGAAAUGCUUGUUUUUAAUAUCAAACGCAACCAGUUAAAACAUUUUGUUUCUCGUGUUUGUUUAACUACAGACACCUUUUCAUAAUGUCAUAAUAUCAGUUUCAUUAAAUAAUAUAUUGUACUAUGUGCAGAGCCUUUGAGCUGCCUAUAUUUUUGUUUCGCAAAGGUAGCAAGCAAGGGCUAAUUCUUAUGAAAUUGAUACAAGCAUGAAAAAAGCAUAAUUGAUAUUUAGUUAAAUACUGUUUGCUAUCACGUGAAACGAAAUUUGUUACGCGGGGUAAGUAAAACGUGUUAUUAUUGUGACAAUUGUCAUGUGAAGACCCAAUAUAUGUACAAUAUGCUUAUUUGAUAUUUUGUUGUCAUAAUUAAGCUCCAUUACAAAUGAUGUAAUACGACCUAUUCAAUUACAUAUAUACUAUCAAUGGUUAUUAAUAUAAUUAUACCUAUAUUUAUGCCCCUCUUCGAAGAAGAGGGGGUAUAUUGCUUUGCUCAUGUCGGUCGGUCUGUUGGUCGGUCGGUCCGUACACCAGGUGGUUUCCGGAUGAUAACUCAAUAACGCUUGGGCCUAGGAUCAUGAAACUUCAUAGGAACAUUGAUCUUUACUCGCAGAUGACCCCUAUUGAUUUUUAGGUCACUAGGUCAAAGGUCAAGGUCACAGUGACAAAAAUCAUAUACACACAAUGGCUGCCACUACAACGGACAGUCCAUAUGGGGGGCAUGCAUGUUUUACAAACAGCCCUUGUUUUUAUAUUGCAUUAAAUUGAGUUUAUUAGCCUCAUACACUCUGACGCACUUAGGAUAUAUUUAAUUACAUGUAUACUUUCGAUAAUUAUUUAUGUUCUAGUGUAAUGUAUAAUAACUCAUAAUGUAUAAUAAUUCAUGUGUGCACCGUUGUAACCAAACGAUUUUAUUUCUUUGCAUAACUUUAUUUUGUAUAAACAUAAACUGUGUAUUGUGGAAACACUGUAUCAUGUAUGCUUGAUUUGUCCACUUGGGCUUUUGGCUUUCUGGAUGGAUUGUUUAAUAAACUAUGUUCUAAAAAAUGCAAA